ensembl:lncRNA
CUCUGUAUCUGUCUAUGUCCUGCAGGUUUGUCUCUCUGUAUCCGUCUUUGUCUCUCUGUAUCUGUCCAUGUCCUGCAGGUUUGUCUCUCUGUAUCUGUCUAUGUCCUGCAGUUUUGUCUCUCUGUAUCUGUCUUUGUCUCUCUGUAUCUGUCCAUGUCCUGCAGGUUUGUCUCUCUGUAUCUGUCUAUGUCCUGCAGGUGUGUCUCUCCGUAUCUGUCUAUGUCCUGCAGGUUUGUCUCUCUGUAUCUGUCUUUGUCUCUCUGUAUCUGUCCAUGUCCUGCAGGUUUGUCUCUCUGUAUCUGUCUAUGUCCUGCAGGUUUGUCUCUCUGUAUCUGUCUAUGUCCUGCAGCUGUGUCUCUCCUUAUCUGUCUGUCUCCCGGUGUCGGUCUCACCAUCUCCUGCAGGUCUCACUGGACUGGACAGCCUGGAGCUGAAUCCCAGUGAGCAGCCGCUGUCUGGACUGGGUUUGUCCUGAUGUUUGUCUGCAGCAGUAGGACACGCCUCCUUCACCUGGAACUCACUGACAGGAAGGGGCAGCGUUUAGAGGGGCGGCGUUCCAACAUCCUACAAGCAGAAUUUAUUCACCUGGGACAAACUACUUCCUAAAAUGGGACAUUGAACUCUGACCCUGUUUAUCAUAUUCAAUUAAUUGUCCUUAAAUCCUUUUGUAAGGAGACGGUGUAAAUAUAAACGACCUGAUGACCUGCUUGUGUUUCAAUCUCUUCUCUCCUCUUUUUCUGCUUCUGUCUCUGCUGCCAAAAGCUCUUUCUACCGAUCCAGAAUCCAAUCUUCAUUUUCUAACCCAAAAAAACUAUUUUCGAUAUUCUCCAACCUCCUCCAACCCCCUAGUCCUCCUCCCCCCUUCUUCUGGGUGACUGUCACUACUUUACCAAGAAAAUAGCUGACAUACGCUCCUCUUUCUCAAACCCAC